UUAGUUUGACUCUAACUAAUAAAUUAGUAAAUUUUAAUAAAUCUUAUGCUAAAUUUAAGUAAAUCAAUAUAUAUAUAUAUAUUAUAGAAUAUACUACAUUUGUAUUAUAUUCAAUAGCAGCGAUUAGGACUAUAAUAAUAUGCAAAUGCAUGAAAUGAUUUAAAUAUUAUUGUCGGCAAAGUUUGUGCCAGCAGCAGCGGUUAUACAAUAGACAUCUAACAUCAAAAAUCUGUUUAGAGAUAUUAAAAAUAAUAUAAAGGUUAAAUUUCUAUAUAUUUUAUACCAAAUAUCUCAUUUAAUAAACUAUAACCCAAAACAAGGAUUAGAUACCCUUUUAUUAUUAGUACAAGACAAGAUUGGAGACUACGAGCAAUAGCUUAAAAACCCAAGAAUUUGGCGGUGUCUUAUUCAAUCAGAGGAACCUGUUUAAUAAAUCGAUAGCCCACGAAUAAUUUACCUACUUUUGAAUAAUCAGCUUGUGUACUGCCGUCUAAUAGGCUCUUAAGGAUAUCUAUAAAUAAAUAAAUUUAUUUUAUGUCAGGUCAAAGUGCAGCCAAUAAUUAGGAUGAAAUGGGUUACAGUUUAUAUUAUUUACUGAUUAUUAGUGUAAAAUUAAUUUGAAGAAGAAUUUGAUAGUAAUUAAAUAAGUAUUAUAAUGAAACUGAACUUAAGACAAGCACAUAUCGCCCGUCACUCCUUUAUAUAGGAUAAGUCGUAACAUAGUAGGAGUAAUGGAAAUUGCAUCUAU
rnacentral:rRNA from 1 species